GCGGCUGUAGCUCAGUUGGUAGAGCACGACCUUGCCAAGGUCGUUGUCGUCAGUUCGAAUCUGAUCAGCCGCUCC
rnacentral:tRNA from 1 species